ACCGGCCAGACUUAAAUUCCUGUAAUUAUGCUGCCAGGUCCCGUCUGUAAAAUAUUUCUUUGUCGAUGUCUUAUAUUUUUAGCAUAAACAGCGAUGCGAAAGUUGUCGAAGCAUUGCGAGCGCCCUCUUGUGUUUUCCGUUGAAUAGAGCAUACACAGUUGCGUAACAAUUUGCAUAUGACAUGCAGUGCGAAAAAGCCUUUUAUUCCGUGCAGUGUCUCAAAAGCAUAGGGCUUCGGACGCACAUUCCGUGAAUUUUUCGCUAGUUUUCUUGGAGAGUAAGCAAGCAUGGGUAGGUCACUUGACUGCUUGUCGUUGCUGCUGCCAGCCACACCUUAUUGCGAGCCAGCUUGUCUAUAUUUUGCUGUGUUUCUCACGUGGUUUUGCCAUGGUUAGCACGCCGCAUGUGCAUACACAUAUCAUGUACAUGCAUAUCGUGUAGUUUGCCCAAACAUCCCGAGGCAUAGGUACACAGGCCGCAACUGCUCCGCUACUGCUUGUGGUUCUGUGGUUCCUGAGUGGUCACAAAUAGAGAAGCCUUCUCGAGUAGACCAGUGUAUCCCAUAUCCAGCAUCCAUAAUAUUUGGACUGCUGAAGAAUGACUGUCGUUUUUUUGUAAUAAAAUUUUGAUCAAUUUAUAGUGGAAUAUAUACCCAGUGUCACUUUCAAAUUUCUGCGUAACCUUUCCAGCUCGGUUACAAAAAUGGCGUAGUCGGCAGGAUCCUUCCUCGUCGCAAAAAAUGGCGUAGUCGGCAGGAUGUCAUAAAAGACAUCCUUAUUUGUGACACAUUUGAUCAAAUAUAAACGACAGUCAUUAUUAUCAUCAUCAUCAUCAUCAUCAUCAUCAUCAUCUUCGAUGACAACCUUCUUGAGAGAAGCGUCUUUCAUCAGAAGGGUGGUUUGCUGCAGCAGUGCGUUUUACAUCAUCUAGUCUCCGGACAGACAGCUGCCCAGAUGUUCGUCGAAAGUGAGAGUAUUUUUAUACGUAGCUACACACAUCUUCCCCACAGUUUGGCACCGUCGUCUGGGACAGAUUGGAGAGACAUUCUUCACAUUACCUGUUUUUCAGCCGAGCGGCCGUGGAGUGUGCUGCUAGUAUUCAGCUACGGAACUCUUUCACUGAUGGUGAACUGUAAACAUAUUCACUGGGAACAGUGUCGUGCAGUCAAGAUUUUUAACAUUUUAAUAUUGCAUAUUCAUUUGUAUUUUAACUUGUAGCCAUUGAGCAUGUCGUUUUGACAAUGGAAGUUUUGCAUGUUAGAAACAGCUUUAUCACAUACAUAGAACAGAUUGAUUGUUUGAUUGGUCCGAUUGAAGAUCAGCUAUUUUCGUAAAAUCAAGUUUGCCUUGGAGUCGACGUUAUAGAUAUUUCACAUUUGAGUAUAUACUCGUAUAUUGUGUGAAUAUUUUAGUAACACCGUGGUAGUUUAUUUCUUUUUAUAUCUGCAGGUUUAAGCUUUCCAGGGACAGUUCUGGCUUCUGUACCUCAUGCUCUGCUCCCUGCCCUGCUAUCUUCAAUGCAGUUACUACCCGCUUGUUGCUCAGUCUCUCGUAUCCGCGAACUGCUGUAGCAUAUCGUAUCUGUUUCUUUACCGACGCUGCGUAGAAUGCGUGUUAAGGUGAUGCAUGCUAAUUGCUUGCUCAUGCUGCCUGUACUUGUAUUGUCCGUGUAUUGAUUUUUUCACAUAACUAGUUGUAGUCUCUGGUUGAAACAUAUUGAAUUCAUAGUCGCAGAAAGUAGAGUAUUUGCUCUAGAUUUGAGACUUUUGGAGGAAUGACACCUGUACAUUUAAAACCCAGGAUAGAUCUAAUGCAGACCCUGUAUGUCAUUCUUAAACUGUACAGUCCUUUUAUCCGUAUUGAUAGUAGCCAGUAUUUGGUAAAUUUUAUUCUCUUCAUGUCCUAAUUUCGUUUUAACCACUAUAUUUUUGGGAUUAGCUAACCCAAAGUGGAUAAAUAAACAUGUUUAGGUUGGGGAUGAAAGAGGCCCUGUAAGUAUAUGUUGAGGAUUUUCUUUUUAAAAUACAUGUAGGUGUUAGCCAGAUGCUUGGAUUUUUUUAUAGUGAAGGAUAGUGUAGUAUAUGAUCAUCUUGAGAAAUUAGGUUUCUUGGACCAAUUGAGAUAAAUGUAAUCUCUAUUUCUCCAGCGACAUGCUACAGAUGGACCAUAUUUUUACCAUUUUCUCUAUCCCACCAUUCCACACUAUCUUGCCAUUUUAAUUAAUACUGAUAUUAUGGAUGUUUUUUUAGGGAAUGUUUUAUUUUGAGAAACAGAUAGCCAGAUUUUCAUUUAGUUAGGGCUUUCGUAUGUCUGAUCAUUGGCCAAAUUGGGAGUUUUAGAUUUAAGGUCCAUUGAGGUCAUCUCAUUUCACUAGUCAUAUACUAGUGGUGGACAUUCUUUUAUCGUGCUCUCGACCAUGUGUACAUAUUAUCAUAGUCCAACUUCAUUCUGAAGAACUGGUGAAGGAUUUUUUUUAAGUAAACAUCUCCUGUCCACUGUCUCACUCAGUCUAGAGCUGCCAAGAUAAUUUUUUUGUCUUUUGAGAAUAUUUUUCAUUACACAAUUUUUAAUCCCGGAUGAUUGUGACCGGCCAGACUUAAAUUCCUGUAAUUAUGCUGCCAGGUCCCGUCUGUAAAAUAUUUCUUUGUCGAUGUCUUAUAUUUUUAGCAUAAACAGCGAUGCGAAAGUUGUCGAAGCAUUGCGAGCGCCCUCUUGUGUUUUCCGUUGAAUAGAGCAUACACAGUUGCGUAACAAUUUGCAUAUGACAUGCAGUGCGAAAAAGCCUUUUAUUCCGUGCAGUGUCUCAAAAGCAUAGGGCUUCGGACGCACAUUCCGUGAAUUUUUCGCUAGUUUUCUUGGAGAGUAAGCAAGCAUGGGUAGGUCACUUGACUGCUUGUCGUUGCUGCUGCCAGCCACACCUUAUUGCGAGCCAGCUUGUCUAUAUUUUGCUGUGUUUCUCACGUGGUUUUGCCAUGGUUAGCACGCCGCAUGUGCAUACACAUAUCAUGUACAUGCAUAUCGUGUAGUUUGCCCAAACAUCCCGAGGCAUAGGUACACAGGCCGCAACUGCUCCGCUACUGCUUGUGGUUCUGUGGUUCCUGAGUGGUCACAAAUAGAGAAGCCUUCUCGAGUAGACCAGUGUAUCCCAUAUCCAGCAUCCAUAAUAUUUGGGUACGUGUGUAAAACAUUAUUGCUUGAAAUGUGCAUUGGAAAUUGGAAAUUGGAGAUUUAGAGAUUUGGAGAUUUGGAGAUUAAUGUGUUGUAAAAUUAUUGCAUAGCAAGUGCUUAUGGAGAUUAUUUCUCCUUGAUUAAAUUUUUAUGCCUUUAAUAUUUUUAUGCCUCUCUAAGAAAUGUACUUGUAAAUUCGCAGCAAAAACAUUUCUAUGGAACAAAUCAAUGGAAAUUGAGGUUUAUAGAACAAGUAAAGCAAUUUCUCGAGAUAAAAGAUAACCAAGGAUAAGGAGAGAUGGUUAUUUCAAAUAAUUAAAUAAUUGAAUAUUGGAUUCAUAGUCAUUGUAUAUUUGUAAAUAAAUUAAU